AUUAGUUAAUUAAAAAAAGGAAGCGAAUCGUUAAAAUUUUAAGACCGUUUUGUUUGUGAGACGAACGUUUUAAGCCUUGUCGCCGAUCGAGAGGGUCGUUGUCGUGACGUGCCUUCGCCGCCCUCGAUAUUUCGUUAAACAGGUUCGGAACGUCCGUGAUCAUAACCUAAAACUUUUUUUUUCAAAAACUGAAUUUAGGUAAAUUCAUAUUUACCUAGAACUGAUUUAUCUGGAGGUCCUCGAUGCGGGAAUGAUGGCGUUGUCGACGUUAACGGAGGAUUUCACGUCGUCGGACGACUACGAGGAGGGCGAGAUCCUCGACGAGGACAGCCUCUACGACGACAUCAGCUCCCUCGAGGAUCUGAGCCUUUCUGACUCGGAGCCCAGGCAGGUGGACGUCUCCGUCGCCCACAAGAAGAGGAAAAAAGAACACAAGUGCAAGGACGGAAGCGUCUGCCGGGGCGAACGAAGCGGGAAGCACUGCUUCGCCAGGAUCAGGAAGAGGAGGCUCAGCCCCGAGUACGCCGAAAAGAUGAAAACCCCGGAUCACACCUACUACAGAGGGCUAGACGAGGGGAAGAUCCUGGAUAAAAAACCCACAAAACGCAUACCCAACCAGUCCAAGUACAUUGGAAGGAAGUUAAACAAAAAAGAUCAGUUUGUCAAGGAAGGAUACCACUUCCACAAACAGAAAAAUUAUGAUUAUUAUAAAGAGAAAACCCGACCGUUUAGAAACGGCGAUAAUCAAUGGUAUGAAAAUGACCAUAAAUCGAAGCAUAAGCAAGCCAAUGCCAAGAUGCACAAUUCAUUUGUAAGUUCAGCUAAGCCUGCUAAAACCAGUCUUCUUAAACGGUUGGUGGGCUCUGGUUCGAUGGUAGCUAAAAAAGAAGGGAAUGCUGAAAGGUCAUUGCUGCCGAAUGAAAAUAAAAAAGGGAAAGAAACCAUUUCAGAUUAUGUCGAAAAUAUGAAACCAUCUGAAGUUAAAAGUGAUGAUAAUUGCCCUCUCAAAUACGAUGUUACAGACAAACAAAGUGAUAACAAUGACAUAAAAGAGUUGACUGGUGAAAUAGAAAAAAGUAAAUCUGAGAAAGCACAAAGCAAACCUAAAUCUGAAGAACUGAACGAAUGGGAUCUUAGAAUCGCCGCUUUAAGAACAGCCUUACUGAAAAAAUUUUCAGAGAAAAAGAAGAACGGUCUUAGUUUCAAAAGGAAGUGCUCUAACCCUUCGGAUGAUUCUAUUGUAGAUUAUGCUCUUCAGGAUUUUGUAGAGAAUGAAAUGGAAUUUCCUGAAAAAGUGGAAGUAUUGAAAGAUGUUGAUUAUAGACAGUUUUCUGACCAACAACCUUGUGAUAUGGAAUUCUGUGAAAUGCAGCCAGUUCAGCAUGGCUUUAACAGUUGUAUUUUUACUGAAAAAAAUCCAAUCCCCUUUUCAGAGUCAGAUUUCGAUUGUCGGGUGUAUUCCUGCUAUCCUUUUCCCCAAGGAAAAAUGCCCAAUUCAGGCCAAAAACAUUUGUCACCAUUCUUUUCUCCUCCCUUAAAUUCUGACCAGGAACAGCUUGCCAUUGUUCCAGGGUCGAGUGUUUCUAGUGCAGAAGAUAAGUCUCAACCAGUACCUGAAUGUCUCAAAGAAAUUAAUUCCAACAAUAUUAGUAAUCAAAAAAAUAGUUUUAAAAAGAAAAGAAGAAAAAUAAAUAAAUUAGAAAAUAGAAAACUUAAAAAGUCUCUUGAGCCCGAUCGUCCCAUUCUUGCUAAGAUGGAUGUCGAGGAAAAUGAAAAGGAGACAACGGAGGAAGAAGAAUUAAGGGAAUUGGCUCUGAUGUCAGUCAAAGUGAAAAACAAAAUGCCGCAAGGGAUGUUAGUCAAAGUGAAUCCAGACAAUGAACUCCUUAAAACUUUACAUGUGGAUACAAGUCAUACACCAGCGGCAAACAGCGAUAGCUCAUCCAACAAACCAAUAUCCAAUAAUUCUAGUAGAGAUCCUUGGGAUGAUGUCGAUGAAGACAUUCUCCGUGCUCAACUUUUAAGCUCUAUGUCUAAUAAAAUACCGACCAAGAUUAACUCUCCUACAGAAUCCAUCUCGCCCAAUAUCAUCCCUCCAGUGAAGAAGGCUAAAAAUACCCUGAAAAUGAAUGGGUUGAAAAUGAGCAAGGCAAACAUCAACCCUUUUAUAAAUGCUUCGGAAUUAAUGAGAAUGAAAGAAAACAAAAGUUUUUAUAAUCAUAAGAGGUUUAUCAAGAAGAAUAAACAAGUCCCGCUACAGAUAUCAGCCCCUGCUGUUCAGAAAUUGGUAAUUAAUCUCAAUGAUUCGGACACAAGCGAAGAAGACUGUUCACCCCACAUUGCAGCAAGUAUCGAUCUAUUUUUACAAGAAGUUAGAAGUAAGACUGAAAGAGAACAAGAAGAAAAUGCUAUGCUAGAAGUAAUCAAAGUUGAAGAAAUGGCUCCCGAACCUUCAAACGACUUGCUACAGGUAGUUUCGGAGGCAAAAGUGUUACCAAAUGCUGACACCAAAGUGAAAAUUGAGAAACCUGAGCUACUAACAAAUGGAAAAAUUUCAUUGACAUUGAAAAAUUCAAACGAUUCGCAAUCAUCCGAAAUUAAAACUCCCACUUCUAAAAGUACCCUUCCUUCUGCCACGCCCCAGGGUAUUAAGCACUUACCUGCUUGGCAGCAAGAGGAAUAUCGCCGUUUGAAAAAUAAACUGAUAGAGAAAGAACGCAUGUGGAAUUCGGUCGAGCUAAAAAUUCAAAAAGUCAAAAAAGACGAGUUAAAAGCUCAGGUUGAUAGUGUAAAAACUAACAACUGCAAAAGGGAUAAACCUUUUUUGAGCUUGAGCCCAUCCAAUGUAAACAAAGGAAGAACGCCUGAAAAUGCAAUUAACCAAACCGAUACUGUUGAUUCAGGCACAGAAACUUCUAGAAAAAGGCAAUGCCUAAAUAAUAAUACUGCUGCCAAAGAGAGUUGGCAAUAUUAUAGAGAUUUUUCUGAGUUGUCUUCAAUGGUAGAAGGGCUCGAAAAAGACCUUGAGGAAUUCCAAGCUUUAAAAAGCAAUACUGCCCGCUUGAGAAGAGAGCUCGCAUUAGCUCAGAACAAAAUGUCAAUGAAAAGGAUGAGCUUGGUCUCGACAAAAGAAUCUUUGGAAAAAAAAGAAAAAUACAUCAACUCCAAAUUAACAUUGGAAUUUCAAAAACUGAAGAAGACUGAGAUACCAGAUCAGGAGAAUUUUGCGUUUUACAGGCAAAGAAGUAAGGAAUUUGAGUUGGCGUUUCUCAAGUUGAAAGAGAUAAGCCUUCGUGCACAGCUUGCUUGCUUUAACCUGGCCAAAGAAUUGAAACCGGCGGUGAAGAGUGCCAAAACUGUUAGUAAAGAAACAUCUAGUCCUAUGAAAAAAAAAGUCAAAACACCAUUACCAAAGGAUUCUGUACCAGUUGAAAAUAACAUCAAACUAGAGGCAACAAACUCUGGCGAUAAUUUGCAAGGAGGGAAUAAUCAAAAAAGGGUUUUCAGUGUUUCGGAGAGUGGGAGCCUAGACCCAUUCACACCUCUUUGCCCUUUUGACAUGGCCGGUGUUUGCAAGGAUGAAGAAUGCAAAUAUCAACACAUUAGGCCAACAUGAAUUUUUAGUUUUACUUUUUUUCAUUUUUACGAGGGGGAAAUUUAUAAUUUAAAUUAUCAGGACCUAGCAAAAUCUUUUCUAGGUGCAAUUAAUAAGACUUGUGUAUGGAUUGUAAAUACGUAUUAUAUGCCGUGUGGAUAGACUCUUGGACGAAACGCGAUAGUCUCUCAAAGGAAGUGAUCUAUGGUUCUUUCAACUUUUUUCUAUUCGGUAUGUAUAAGUAUGUAAGUUGAACAAAAUAAACAUGACUUUCCCUUUAUACAUUAACAAAAGGAGACAUUAAUUUUAGGUUUAAUGCCAGUGAGGUAAGCUAUCUGAGUUUUAAAAAUCCAAUUUAAUGUUAUUCUAUAGUGAACGUUGUUUAUUAAAAACUAGUAAACUUUUUUCCUUUUGUGAAUUCUUUUACAGUAGUCUCAAGUUGAAAUAUGCAUACUUAUUACAUUAUACUUUUUUUAUGACAGUUCAUUUUAAUUAAUCCAUCAUUAUUUUCAUUUUAUUUAUUUUUUUGGUUUGAAUUGUCUUCAUUCUGAUUUCUCACUCAUACCAGUGACAAAAGUGUCACUAAUUUUCCCAGUCUUUUUUCUUUUCUUUUUUUCCUUGGGAAGCUUCCUUAUUCAAACUACCACUUGACAAGAGGCUGCCCUGGAUACCAUCAAAUUUGUCAAGAAUCAACUUCUUCAGCUGUGAUAUCAUCUUUGAAA
rnacentral:misc_RNA from 1 species